GAUACAGCUGUACUGUCGCCACUUAAAUAAAUCCCAAAGGCUAGAAGAUUGCUAAAGCCAAGCAAACCAUAUCUUGCUACUUUUCCACUCCACCGUUGAACAGGCUGAAAAAACUUGCUGAAGGACAGAAACGGAGUCUAUGCCUCUCUGAGGAUAUAAAGAGAAAUGAUUUAAUACACACUUCACAUGGACUUCAGGAAAUUUAAAAGCAUUGUGAAAAGAAAUCAGGAAGAUGGUGUUUGCAUUAAGAAGCCUACAGUUCAAAUAGAGAAGGCAGACACAGAGCAGGAGAGGAGCAAGAGCACUGAGAGACUAAAGAUCUGUGAGAGUAAGAAUUGGUUUCUCAGGGCAUACGCACAGACCUGGCCUGAACUUUGUCUCAGCCGAAUCCUCCAAGCACGACCA